rfam:Gillisia limnaea DSM 15749 genomic scaffold Gilliscaffold_2, whole genome shotgun sequence.
AUACCAGGGUAAUUUGACUGAUUGCAACCCUUUAAAAAACGCUAAAGCAGUAGUA